CGUGAAAUUGUUGAAAGGGAAGCACUCGCUACCAGACUUGGGUUUGGCGGUUCAACCGGGGCCACGCCCCGGGGCAUUCCGCCAGCUCAGGCCAGCAUCAGCUUUCCGUCGGGGGCAAAGACGUCGGGAAUGUGGCUCCCCCUCGGGGGAGUGUUAUAGCCCGGCGUGUCAUACCCUUCGGGGGGCUGAGGUACGCGCUUCUGCAAGGAUGCUGGCGUAAUGGUAGCUAGUGACCCGUCUUGAAACACGG
rnacentral:rRNA from 1 species